rnacentral:rRNA from 1 species
UGGGGAAUAUUGGACAAUGGGCGCAAGCCUGAUCCAGCCAUGCCGCGUGAGUGACGAAGGCCUUAGGGUUGUAAAGCUCUUUUGGCGGGGAAGAUAAUGACGGUACCCGCAGAAUAAGCUCCGGCUAACUUCGUGCCAGCAGCCGCGGUAAUACGAAGGGAGCUAGCGUUGUUCGGAAUCACUGGGCGUAAAGCGCACGUAGGCGGACUUUCAAGUCAGGGGUGAAAUCCCGGGGCUCAACCACGGAACUGCCUUUGAUACUGUUGGUCUCGAGUCCGGAAGAGGUGAGUGGAAUUCCUAGUGUAGAGGUGAAAUUCGUAGAUAUUAGGAAGAACACCGGUGGCGAAGGCGGCUCACUGGUCCGGUACUGACGCUGAGGUGCGAAAGCGUGGGGAGCAAACA